UGGAGAGUGCAUGUGCAUGGAAAUGUAGGGAGCAGUGUGGCAGGAUGAGUGUUAACAGAAUUAUGGAAUUUUUUAUGUGGUGAACAGUGUUUGACAAUUAAUGCAACUGGUUAAUAGUGUGGGGGAAAUAUCUGACAAUGGACGGAGUAACGAAAAAUUUCAUCCAACUAUCCUGAAGGCUUUUACAAACAAGCAUUAAUUAGACAUGACCACACCCUAGAAAAAUGAUCUGCACAGCUUCCAAGUCUCAUGCUUCCUCCUCUUCUGUUCCCAAUAAGGGUAUCCCCAGAGGGAAGGAAAGCAGCUCUUCAUUUCUUGGCAGGAGGCCAGGCACUUGGAACAGGAAGAAAUGGAUCUCUGCACUUGCCCCUUCAGGGGGCUAGGCAAGGGGCCCUGAAAACGAAAACAAAGAAGUCAGCGGAACCUGAGACAUCUGUGAACACUGACACAAAACCAGUCUUAUCCAUAAUACACCACAGCUUCCUAACAUAUACUGCUCUUUAACUGAUUUACAAAUUGACAUAUAAGGGAACAAUGAAUAUGAUUCUUUACUUACCCAAAGCUAUCCAAUGGCCACUAUGCAAGGAGUUGGUGUUCUUAGCUCACUCUCUUUUAAACAGUUUUUCAGAUUUAAAAAAAAAAGUCACAAGUAACACUGACAUCUUUGCUGGUGGUUUCAGCAAAGAAGGCCAAAGGCUGAAUUAAAUAUACGAAAUACCCCCCUUCUUGUCCCUAGUAAGUUGCCUCUCUAGAUCAGGGCAAAGGCAUGAGGCAGGGAGGUUUUCUUUAGGGAAUUUUGCAUCUUUUGCAGUCAGUGCUACAUCUGGUCUGUUGGCUAGAAGAAUGUUGUUUUAAGUGUUUUAAGAUCACUGGCACUCAUUUAAAACAUACUAAGAAAUUCAUAUGGAAAGUGGAGACAUUUUUAAAUGCUUUUGCUGUAACUGUUUAAUGUACAGCUGGUGCUGUGGUUGCAAGUUUAACAGCUCGUCAUACUGUCCUAUCAGUUCUACUGGUUUUAAUCCAGUAAUACUUUUGAUUAGAACAAAACCCUUUUUGUGCUAACGUAAAGUGAGUAACAAAUAAAAGGGAAAAGCUAGAAGUAGAUUUGAUGGCUAAAAUGACCUUUAUUGUGCCAAGAUUUCAGUAACAAAAAUGAUAGUUGGAAGGGGAAAAACCUCAAUGUGCUAUGUUACACAGGAGAGAGUCACUGUACUUGUAAUACAUUUUGUAUUAGUUUUCAGGAUAUGGGAGGUGAAAUAGAUGCAAGGGGAUCAUCUGUCUUAAAAUGAGACAUAGGGGAUAGCUGAACCUACAGCCUUAUCUGUCAAUUUCAUGGCCUCUCCCCAUUUUCAAAUGUUCCUCAUACAUUGUAUACAAAAAGUAAUAACAUUGGCAUUGAAGCUUGCCACUGCCAAAUUGCAUCUCCUUUAUUGUUCAUGGUCUCAGGUCAAGUUGAGUCACUGAAAACAAUGGCUCUUUGUAUGUAUCUUUACUCCCUAAUCACACAGUUUUUGGUUUCCAAAUUUUUGUAGCACUCCCUGGUUUGAAAGUGUCUAUUUAAACAGGAUACUUUGCUCUCUUUUGUAAACAUGUCUCCAUUAGUGAAAGCGACAUCAUGGGAACUGAUAAAAGCCAGUCAGGAGCAGAUAAUGCGUAUAGACUUUAAGAAAACAGUAUUUCUUUCCCAAUAAGAUAGAAAACAGUAUUUCUCUCCCAAUAAGAUAAUGUUUUGGAAGUUUUAAUGCUCAACAUAAUCUUAAAAUUGUAAAUUGGGGACUAAUCAAGAAUUGUUAAAAGGAUUAAAAAAUAUACCCAUCUUGCCAGCUUUAUUCUACUUGGAAAACUGCUAUGUAACAAAGCAUCUCACAAAAUAUAAUAUUCACAUAAAGCAAGGGGAUUGCCAGUUUGUCAUCAUAUGCAAAUUAUUUCCCUGGACUCAGUGGCAUAGUAAAUACAUUCAUUUAAGAAGAAAAAAAAAUGGCAAACCUUUGGCUUGCUCCUGCUCCCAUUGAAAUCAAUGGCAAGACUGCCAUUGAUUUCAAUAGACGUGGGAUAGAGUCUCUGUUUUGUGGUGUCAAAAGACAACUAUGUUUGAAUUUUUGGAACUGAUGCAGCCCUGAAAGUCCAUGACAUUCCAAAAGUUUCCCCAUUUGUUUGAGACCAUAGCAACAACACAUAAAUUGCAAGCGCUGAAUACUGAAGGGAUUUUACUAUUCAGAAAAUUGAGGUUUUAAACAAGUGUAUCCUGCUGUACAAAAAGUUUUUGCUCAGGCUUAAUUUUUCCAAAGAACUGGUUCCAGCACCCUUUCAGAUGAGUGACUGGAUUACCUUUGUAUUCCUUUUACAAUGAACAAAUAAUGCAGUAAUAUUAUCAAAAGUAGGAGAAAUAGUUUUAAAAUCAUAUCACAAAUGCACCUUAAGUCUCUCUUUGGAAUAAGAGCUAUUGCACAGAAUAAACUACACUUGAGUAUUUAAAAAAAAAAAAUUCUGAGACCCCGAAGCAAAGUUUCCACUUAUUAUUCUUUCCCAAUGGAACAAAAUAGAUUAGCCAUUUCCCCCAUAAACUAGACUGUGAACACACACUAAAUGUAGCAUAAAAACGAUGACAAAGCCACUAAAGCUGAGAGGACUGAGAGGUCCUGAUUCUCCUGUUACUUAUAUUGUUGUAAAUCAGGUGUAAUUUUGUUGAAGUCAGGGGAGUUAUACUGGUCUAAAAAUGUAAGCAAGAGAAGAAUCAUCUCCAGGGUCUACUAAAUAGUUUUUUUUAAUGCAUGAUAAUUCUUCAUCAAAAAACCAUAAUGUAAUGCAAAUUAGCACAUUUGUUACACUUCAUGAGUGAGAUUGCAAUCUCUGAGUAAAUUUAAAAUGACACUAUUGAAGACAGUAAAGUUUCUCCAGGUUUACAUGAGUGAAACUGAAAGCAGUCUCUGGCCUCAUGUCAUGUUAGUGAAUGCUGUGUGAAAUGAAACUAAUAAGAAGAAAAGCAGUUAUGUACUUGUAACUGGUGGAAUUGUGUACUAAACUAAAUUAAGGCUGCUAGCUAGUGUAAUCUACAUACCUAGAAAUUACAGUUAAAACAUUUAAAUGCUAUGAAGUUUGGAAAUGCUUAGAUAAGUUAAUGUGGAUAAAAAAUGUAAUUCCCUUACACUUACACAUUUUCUUAGAAAAUAGGAUAUUCAAAUAGCUUAGGUAUUCAGAAAUAAGGUAAACUCUGAAUCCUGCUUCUUUGUUUCAACAUAAUCCAGUUGUUGAGCCAUUUUUUUCUAACUCCUCUCUGAUUUAGGGACCUAUUCUGCUAGCUUUAGUCACAUUUCUGGGUUCCCCACUCUGCAUGUAAUUCCAUUAAAAUCAACCAGAUUACUUGAGAAGCAAGUUACUAUUCAACAGGAGGAAGAGUGGAAGAAUAGGGCCCUUAAACUGUAAACUCUUUGGGGAGAGACCUUGGAUGUCUGUGCCUUCAACUACGUAAACUAAGGGCAUUGUAGAAAUAAAUGAUAUAAUGAGAGAUGUCAGUAUUAAGAGUUCUAAGUACAAGUUCUGCCCAUUGGAUGCAGACAACUCCCAUUGAUUACAAUGUGACUUGCCUGUAUGUAUCUGAGUUUGGCCCAAUACAUCAGCCUUUUAUAAUUCAGGAUUAUUUUGCCAGAAUCUCAAUCUCUCUCUUUUUUCCCCCCUUUACAAUACCCAUAUAGGUAUCAAUUCAGACAAGCUAUUUUUGACUAAUACAGUACCAUCUCUGAAACAUUUAUUUGUAUUCUUCUCUGAUUAUUGCAAAUACUAGCAUUAAAUAAAAACAGUUUUAAUUACAGCACUGUCAUUUAAGACAGGUUGUAACAGACUCUCACCACUAAUUAAAAAUGAUGAUUGAUUUCUGGCAUUGGUUUAACAGAAUUUAAUUCUCCUGUUGUUUUUCUUCUGCAGUAUCUGGUCACCACUAGGAAGAGCAAGCUUCUACCUGUGUUUAUCGUUAAAAUAAGGACUUAAGUAUGAACAUCACCUCAUAUUAUUAAGACAUGCUGGUCCUGAUAAGAA